UACGAAGGGGGCUAGCGUUGCUCGGAAUCACUGGGCGUAAAGCGCACGUAGGCGGUCUUUUAAGUUGGGGGUGAAAUCCUGGAGCUCAACUCCAGAACUGCCUUCGAUACUGGAAGACUUGAGUCCGGGAGAGGUGAGUGGAACUGCGAGUGUAGAGGUGAAAUUCGUAGAUAUUCGCAAGAACACCAGUGGCGAAGGCGGCUCACUGGCCCGGUACUGACGCUGAGGUGCGAAAGCGUGGGGAGCAAACAGG
rnacentral:rRNA from 1 species